CACAGACAAUCCACAUCAAGGGUAAACCCGUCACCACAUAGUCCCAGUAAACCGUGCCAGGCCGUAGACUGGGGUCCUGGUCUUCCUGUCCUGUAUAUGUAUAUGUGUAUAUAACACCUGUACUUACCAUUUGCCAGGCAUAGACCUGAAACCUGGUCUUACUAUACCUGCCAGGCCGUAGAAUGGGGUCCUGGACUUUCCUAUACUUGCCAGGC
rnacentral:lncRNA from 1 species